UAUAAAGAGGUCACAAUGCCUUGCGAGCACGGCAACCAUCUCACAGUAAGGCAAAAGUAAACAUGGCCAGGAUUCCUACUGUCACCUGGAGAUGCCGCAGGAACUUUGGACUCACUACCUUCAGACUUCAUGUUACAUAAAAACAAUAAGCCCCUACCUAGGAAAAAGCAGAAUAUAUCAGGUUCAGUACUAACCACAGUUUCAGACAUCAACUGGAGGAUGAUGGUAUUCCCAGCAGAUAAGGAUAAAGGAGCCUAGUAAAGAAAAAGUAAAAGAGAGUCCCUGAUAAAAGAUAAUAGAGUAUCAACAGUCUUCUGAGCAAGAAAGCUUCUUUCUGAGCAAGAAAACAAGUGUGGAGUGUUCACAUCAUGCUAUCUAAGGUCAUCUGAAGUGCAGUGGUGACUGGAGGAGCUGGGUGUAUCAUCACACGCAUCCCUCAGCCUUUUCAGGGCCCUGGAAAGGCAAAAACAAAAGAAAACAAAAACAACCCUAAGAAAAUAACUAUAACAAGUCUGGUUUUUUUGGUUUGGGAUGCCCAGAACCUGUUGAUGAGAAAUCCGUAAAUUUAUUAUCAUUAUUUAAAAGGAUUCAUUCUGUA